rfam:Camponotus floridanus CamFlo_1.0_2.contig3933, whole genome shotgun sequence.
UAAUCGGCCCUUUUCAGGGCCAAUAAAUUUUUAAAACGAGCAUUC